AUGACGUCCUAUCGUUCUUGUUUUCAUAAUUUCUAUGAUGAUCGGAUUCUCCAGUCAACACCUAAUCUCCGAACAUGGAUUGGUUUUGGACUUUCAGAAGUGUUCCUUCCGAAGCUAAGAUUCCUGAGAAAUUGUCACACUGUUACACUUUCUUCUUCUAUUGGACAACUCCUUUACUUGCAAACUGUAGAUCUGAGGAGCACAUCUCUUGGCAGAAGUUUACCAAUCACCGCAUGGGCUAUCCCUACCCUAAGGCACCUUUACCUUGAUUCUGGAUCUUGUGGAACCAUUGAACUAGACCCGGUGCCACUCCUAGAGAAGCUUCCAUGUCUUGUGGUGUUGCAUCUAUGGAAUUAUCGGGGCCCGACUAUGCACUGCUCUGCCCAAGGAUUCCCUCAGCUGCAAAAUCUGGAACUUCAUUUCUUUAGUACCGAGUGGACGAUAGAGGUGGGGGCAAUGCCAAGACUCUCCAACCUGAAGCUUCUGAGUUGCGGGAUGCAGAAGCUCCCCGAGGAUCUGCUGAACCUGCAGUGCUUGAAGAAGUUGGAAACUAACUGCUGGCAGCUUAAAUUUGACAACACAUGGAAAGAACUGAAAAAGAAGGGAUGCAAGAUGUGUGUUUUGGUGGAUGCCUCUUAG
rnacentral:rRNA from 1 species